AUGGUGGGUCCUUACUUUCCCGUUGGCCGGCCUAGAAGGGUUUUAUGUAAUGGUGUGAUCAAUUACCACCACUUCAAGGUUGAUAUGUUUGUGGGUGUCAUUGAUAGGCAAAUCAGUGAGCUGAAUGGCAGGUUUGAUGAGGUAAACACGGAGCUACUUUCUUGCAUGGCAGCAUUUUGUCCACUUCAUCUAUUUGCUGCUUAUGACCAAGAGAAGUUGGUUAGGCUUGCUACAAAGUUUUAUGCUUCCAAUUUUACAAGUGAUGAACUGACAAGACUUCCAUGGCAACUAAACAUGUAUGUUACUAAUGUGCGUAGAGAUGAAAGGUUUCAAAACCUGAAAAAUCUAUGCCAGCUUUCAGUUAUGCUUGUUGAGAAAAACAAGCAUGAACAAUAUCAUAUUGUUUACAAGCUUCUUAAGUGGGUAUUGAUUCUCCCAGUAGCUACUGCUAGUGUUGAAAGGGUAUUCUCUUCAAUGAGCUAUGUGAAAAAUAAGCUAAGAAACAAAAUGGGUGAUACGUCUCCAACGUAUCUAUAA
rnacentral:rRNA from 1 species